UGCUACUACUGCUGCUGCUGCUACUUCUACUACUACUACUUCUACUACUACUACUUCUACUACUACUACUGCUGCUGCUGCUAAUGCUACUUCCUUAACUACUACUACUACUGCUGCUACUAGUAUUGUUAUUAUUAUUUAUACUACUAUUGCUACCGUUACUGCUACUAUUCCUGUAAAUGCUAAAACAACAACACAAUAAUAACUGCUACUACUGCUACUGUCACUUAAAUUUGCACCAAUAGUAUAAUUAUCAGUAGUUUAACUGCUUAUACAACUUAUACAACAACCACUUUUACUUCUACUCCUACAACAUAUUCUACUGCCAGCCUCAGCAUUACUACUUCUACCACUACUACUACUACUAUAACUACUACUAUUUCUGCCCAAACUAUGCACAUUGUUUUAUGUUUUAUUCAUAUGUUGUGUAAAUUGUUGAACUCUGAUUUACUUUGAAUAAAAUGUGUUGCAUUUUUAUAAGUUAUUUUCUCCUCUUAUAAAGUCUAAGUUUUUUCCAGGGUCAGCUGAAAAUGUUAGAGUCUUUUCCAUGCUUAAAAAAUUCUAUGUUCCACUUUCCAUGCUAUCUGGAAAUAUUUUCCAUGGUUAUCCAGCCUAAAUCCAGCGUUUUCCAUUCCUUUUCCAUGCUUUUCCAUCCAAGGCUGGAAAAUGCUUGGAAAAAAAGUCCACGUUUCAUGGACAUUUCUAGAAAAAAAGCCUGGAAAACCCUGGAAACUGUUUCAAAUUCCAGGGAAUUCCAUGUUAUACCAUGGAUUUCCAGCCUAAGUUCCAUGAUUACCCUGGACAAUGUACACCCGGGAACAGGACACAAACACGUACAGUCAAUAACCAAUUACAGUGAAAUUUCCGAAACAUAUUAACAGAUCAACAUUAAAAUCAUUCACCCAUAAAAAAUAAAAAUAAUCUCAUAAAAGUUUGUAAUUGUUUUAGGUAUGCGAUAGUGAUUAUAUUUUAUGUUAAAUAUCAGAACACAUACAUGUAUUUACAAUAUGUUCAAUGUGUUCAAUAUUCAACUAUAUUAACAAUACAUUUAUCUGUAACGCCAGCUCCUGUAUCACUAUAUGCCACCCUACCGGGGGCAUAAAAACUGUAUCUGAAGAAUGCAAGCUUUGCAUUAUUAAAUUGGGAAUUGAUGAAAUAAUCCAAAAUAAGAACCUGGAAUGCGACCAAUAUUCGGACCUGCCAAGUGUCUUCCAAAAAUACCUGUUGUUUAGUGUCUUCCGUCUGUUUUCUUUUUCUUUCUGUUACUCUUGCUUCCAUUUCUCAAGUCGUAGAUUAUUUGUAUGAUUAUAGCGAUUACUAUGUAUUAAUUAUUGUGAUUUUCAAUAUGUGAUUGAAGUUAACAUGCCAUUAUUUUGUCCUCAUAAAUGUUUAAAAGCCCCUACACAACAGUUUCAUUCACUUCAUUGAUUAACUGUUUAACACUGGCGGUUAGUCUUGGUAGGAAAAAACGUUAGAAUGUGUUAUCUAUCUUAAAAGCCAUGGUCCAAAAUUUAUUUCAAAAUAUGGUUUCAAAGUUCUUCCCACAUGCUGACUGCAAGGUUGUAGUUCAGGGUCAGUGAAUGUUGACAUCAGGCUGCCAUCUGUGGUCAGUGUGAGCAGCUUGUGCUGGAUACGGUUGGUGACAUAGAUCCGGUCACCAGCAGGACUCAAUGCACAUUUGCUCACUACAAAGCAUAAAACAUGUUACAAACACAAAAAAGAUGUUCAAACCUUUUGGAAACAUGUUCUACUGCAACUCCAUCUGUUUUAUGCACUUCUGUCAACACUUCCGAAAUGAACAUUUCUCUCCCCACCCACCCGGCAGUUUCACAAGCACAGUUUCAUGGCCAAAAAUCCAAUAAAUGACAUGUUUUUUGGAGCUGUACUUAACGUGCAGAACCUCAAUAUCUACGACGAAGCACCACAGUAAACCAAACGCGCAGUAUAUAUUCAAAAUUCUAUAAAAACAUCAUUCAAUUCUUUACACGUGUUGACACACGGCGAAGACGUGAGCGACUGCACUGGCCUUGACAUGUUACAACGGUUAUCAAGUUUUGCCUUUAAAAUGUAUAAUAUAUGCGUUCAUUUUGUGUAAUAAAGUAUUGCUGCUUAAAGUUUUGUUGCAGAAUUUGCUGUGAAAAGUAACUUAAUGAAAACAAUAUCUAAUACUAAUUAUAAAUCAUUACAGAUAUAAUAAUAAAAGUCACUGCAUUUUUGUUAAUAUUUAUCAAUUACAUUAAUGGAUUAUAUAUUUAAGUAAUAUUUGUGAAAACAGUAAAAUUACUGUAUAGUCUAUUUGCUAUACAAUUAAAUAAUCGAAAGCUGAACUUUAAAUAACAACUAAGUAUUCAUAAAAGAGAGUUACGUUAAUGAACAGUGAAAAUGUAAUAUUUCCAAUUGUUAAUUUUGUUUACCUACACAUAAAUAUACAAGAUAAUGUACAGACAUUACUUAGCAUAAAUCUAACAUUGCCAAAUACAAAAGUAAUCAUUUAACCCUUAAAAGAAUCAUUAGUUAACAUGUUAUUUUAUCCCAAACAAACACAAAUUACACACUAAAAUGUGUUACCUGUGAGGAAAAGAGGACAACAGUAAAAGUUUAUUUGAACAGCUACAUUUUUAACCAGGUUUUCCGAAGGAAAAAACUGGUUAUUAGAUUGGCGAAUGCGGGCGGGCGGGCUGGCUGGCUGGCUGGCGGGCUGGCUGGCGGGCUGGCGGAAUAAGCUUGUCCGGACCAUAACUAUGUCGUUCAUUGUCAGAUUUUUAAAUCAUUUGGCACAUUUGUUCACCAUCAUUGAACGGUGUGUCGCGCGAAAUAAUUACGUCGAUAUCUCCAAGGUCAAGGUCACACUUUGAGUUCAAAGGUCAAAAAUGGCCAUAAAUGAGCUUGUCCGAGCCAUAACUAUGUCAUUCAUCGUCAGAUUUUAAAAUCAUUUGGCACAUUUGUUCACCAUCAUUGGACGGUGUGUCGCGCGAAAUAAUUACGUCGAUAUCUCCAAGGUCAAGGUCACACUUUGAGUUCAAAGGUCAAAAAUGGCCAUAAAUGAGCUUGUCCUGGCCAUAACUAUGUCAUUCAUUGUGAGAUUUUAAAAUCAUUUGGCACAUUUGUUCACCAUCAUGGGACGGUGUGUCGCAUGAAAGAAUCACGUCAAUAUCUCCAAUGUCAAGGUCGCCACGACUAAAAAUAGAUUUUUUUUAAAAACAAACUUACAAAGGGGGUUAAUUUUGUUUGUUCAUUUCAAAAGUUCAGUUUGAGUUUUCUCCCUUUAUCAGAUUUUUUUUUCACAAUGAAAACCUGGUUUUGUGACAAUUUUGUCCCUUGUUUUGAAUCAUCGCGGCAGCCAUUUGCAUUUUCUCUAAAGUCUGUAUUGGCCCGUACUGUGUAUCGGAACGCUAUGUUCAGUUACCGAUUUAUUUGUAAUAAAAUGUAUUGUUACUGAUUUUGUUGACUAUUAUUUUUAAUUUGAAUUUUGUUAUUUUUGGGGCGUAAGACGUUAUAUUGUUCGUGAUUAUUCUUGAAAAGUUUGUAUCACCUGAUUGUCUGCGCGCGACGUCGUUAAAUGUCAUAUAAAUUGGCCAUUAAAGUAUACGUGUGUAAGCGGCGACACGAUGCCGACAUUUUUUGCAAAUUUUUUUUGCAGUGUCUUAGCUGUGGGAACAGUUUGAAGUUUCCUAAAUUGAUUUGUUCAGAGUCAGCUUUAAGCAGAUUUUUUCAAAAAUGUUUCAUGAAUAAUUGCAUAAUGAAAAACAAAUAAGUAAAGUGAACAUCUUUGUGUACUAGUAACUCAUAAUGUGUCCUUGUUUCUUUUUUAUUUAAAAUUUAAUUUCAUUCCAUUUCUCCUCUAAAACUAGCAAUUGCUAUAAGCUGUACAUAUAUUGUAGACACUUGAUAACAAAAUAUAUGCCUCAAUACUGAUGAAAUUGAUAGUGAGAAUGUUUAUCUUGAGAAUUUCUAUGCUUAGAGUUAAUCUGAAUCAUGAGAAUCAAAUAAUAAGAUAUCCAGGUCCAUUCUUAGAAAACCCUUGUUGCCAUUCUAAAGGCCAUCUUUAUGACUCAUCACACUUGAUCCCAGUGUUUUUCUUGACAAGGCAAAGUUAGAAAAAAUGGUCCCCACCAGUCAGGGCAGUUUUUGUAAUAUGGCUAUAGUGAUGCUUUUUUACACCAUAAGAAUCACAAUACCCUGUGUUUCAAAAUGGAGUGACCUGUUUGGGAAAUUAUGUUAACGAAUUAUGUUAAUGAAUAUGUAUGAUUUCAUUUUAUUCUAUAUUUUUUAACUGAAGGUAAAAUACAUAUUUUUAAACUUAGCAUUUUAAGUGUUUUUCUCAUAGGUUUAUGUAAAUAUACUAUUUAAUUCAUUCUAAUACUAUGCAAAUGUUAAUGAAACUGAACAAACACAAGGAGCAGCGUUAUGCAGUUGAAACUGUUUGUGUAAAAAGUUGUGAUUUUGUUGCAAAUAGUAAAAAUUCACAUAAUGAUAUACUUUAAUUUUAGUUUACUAAGAAUAUAAGGUUGGUUUUGACAAAACAUGUUAUUAUGUAUUAAAUGCUUUUUAUUUUAAUAUAGUCUUUAUUGUAUUGUUUCUUUUGUUCUAUGUACAUUUAGCCAAUAUGAUUUUUACUGUACAUCAUAAUGGUUUAUUGAUUAAAUUUUUAUUGUUAUGCCCCCUGAGGUACAUAUGUAGUUACCGCACGUUUAUUUCCAAUAUUGAAUCUGGAUCACGUGCGUCCAAAACCAAAGUCAUGAGGUCAAUCUUAGAAAAACCUUGUUACCACUCGUGAGGCCACAUUUAUUUCUCAAUCUUGAUAAACAUGGUCAGAACAUUUAUGUUGGCAAAAUCUAGGUCGAGUUUGAAUCUUUACCAUCUGCAUAAAAAAAAACAGGAACAGCAGGUUAUAUCUUUGAAAAAUGUUUUAGUUGACAAUAUCUAAGCUGAUUUUUAAAUUUGGGUCACGUUCGUAUAAUAAAAUCCUCAUUACCACUGUUGAGACCCUAUUCUCAGCCUUGAUUAAAAAAAUUGACAGAAUAUUCAUCAUUUAGAUAUGAAGGUAGUGUUUGAAAAUGAAUGUGUAAAUUGGAUUCCAGAACUAGAUCACCGGGACAUGUCUUCGACAAUUUUGGUGUCUGUGAACUCUUUUAGGUCCAUAAUGACCUUUUUUUUAUUUCAAUGUUCAAUUUUUCAUUAUUGUUUGUGUUUUUCAUGUUUAUAGUGUCUUAGUAGUAUACUGAUUUUCCCUAGGUUGAAAUAGCUAUUGUUAACUGUUUCCACAAAUAUGAUGUAAAUACAAUAAUUAUGUUUUAUUUUGUGGUCUUGUUUUGGUUUCUCAAAAUGUAUUUUUCAAUGAAGCAAUAAACUGUUUUUAUAAUAAAUUACUUAAACAUGA